UACAGGGGGUGCAAACGUUGCUCGGAAUUAUUGGGCGUAAAGCGCGCGUAGGCGGCUACUUAAGUCGGAUGUGAAAGCCCUUGGCUCAACUGAGGAAGUGCACCCGAAACUGAGUGGCUUGAGUACUAAAGAGGGUCGCGGAAUUCCCGGUGUAGAGGUGAAAUUCGUAGAUAUCGGGAGGAACACCAGUGGCGAAGGCGGCGAUCUGGCAGAUACUGACGCUGAGGUGCGAAAGCGUGGGGAGCGAACGAG
rnacentral:rRNA from 1 species